rnacentral:rRNA from 1 species
GCCAGCCCGCUCAGAACUCAAAGGAAUUGACGGGGCCGCACAAGCGGUGGAGCACGUGGUUUAAUUCGAAGCAACGCGAAGAACCUUACCAGGCCUUGACAUGCAGAGAACUUUCCAGAGAUGGAUUGGUGCCUUCGGGAACUCUGACACAGGUGCUGCAUGGCUGUCGUCAGCUCGUGUCGUGAGAUGUUGGGUUAAGUCCCGUAACGAGCGCAACCCUUGUCCUUAGUUACCAGCACGUUAUGGUGGGCACUCUAAGGAGACUGCCGGUGACAAACCGGAGGAAGGUGGGGAUGACGUCAAGUCCUCAUGGCCCUUAUGUCCAGGGCGACACACGUGCUACAAUGGCCGGCACAACGGGAAGCGAGUUCGCGAGGACGAGCGGAUCCCUUAAAGCCGGUCGCAGUUCGGAUUGAAGUCUGCAACUCGACUCCGUGAAGUUGGAUUCGCUAGUAAUCGCGCAUCAGCCAUGGCGCGGUGAAUACGUUCCCGGGCCUU